GUGAGUAAUGCAUNGNAUCUGCCCGAUAGUGGGGAUAACCUGGGAAACUCAGGCUNAUACCGCAUACGUCCUACGGGAGAAAGCAGGGNAUCUUCGGACCUUGCGCUAUCGGAUGAGCCUAUGUCGGAUUAGCUUGUUGGUGAGGUAAUGGCUCACCAAGGCGACGAUCCGUAGCUGGUCUGAGAGGAUGAUCAGCCACAUCGGGACUGAGACACGGCCCGAACUCCUACGGGAGGCAGCAGUGGGGAAUAUUGGACAAUGGGCGAAAGCCUGAUCCAGCCAUGCCGCGUGUGUGAAGAAGGCUUUCGGGUUGUAAAGCACUUUCAGUGAGGAAGAACGCCUUCGGCUUAAUACGCCGGAGGAAAGACAUCACUCACAGAAGAAGCACCGGCUAACUCCGUGCCAGCAGCCGCGGUAAUACGGAGGGUGCGAGCGUUAAUCGGAAUUACUGGGCGUAAAGCGCGCGUAGGUGGCUUGAUAAGCCGGUUGUGAAAGCCCCGGGCUCAACCUGGGAACGGCAUCCGGAACUGUCAGGCUAGAGUGCAGGAGAGGAAGGUAGAAUUCCCGGUGUAGCGGUGAAAUGCGUAGAGAUCGGGAGGAAUACCAGUGGCGAAGGCGGCCUUCUGGACUGACACUGACACUGAGGUGCGAAAGCGUGGGUAGCAAACAG
rnacentral:rRNA from 1 species